CAGUACUGCACUCCCCACCCGUGUGCCUGUACAAAAAUAGCAAUCUUUGGGAAGUACAUUUUGCCCCUAACAUAAGAGGCACUAUCUAGACAAUUGGCGUGUGUUGAAGGAUGCGUCCCAAGGUAUAGCUAUAAGAACAUUGCUGUGAGCCAGGAAAUACAUGCCUGUGUUGAAGAACUCUGGUGUGAGUAAACAUAAUAUAGAGCCAGGAAACCUGUAUGCAGCAAUGAUGGAAGAUGAAAGGAUGCCAAUCAAUUCUUCUGGAAAAAGACACUGAAAGGCACAGGCAAAUCUCAUACACAAGUAAGUGUAUUUGCACCUAUUUUUCCUCUCAACUUGAAUAUAUAAAGGCUGUUUAAAAAUAUAUAAUGUACUCUUUGCCCUGAAGUUUUCAUUAUAAUUCAUCGAGUGCAUAGUCUAUCUUCAUUGCCCAAUCAUUUGUCAUUUAUUCAUUGUUGUUUCUUUACCCAGAAGGAUGCAACAUAAUUUUGGAAACAGAAGCAUUAAAUUAGAGAUGGAAGAUACAGAUUGUAAUAUUAAAAAUGUGUUCUCCUACUGUGGCCUAAUUUGCCUUUUUCUUUUUACGCUGGUAAUAUAUCUGAACCCAUACUGUGAGCACAGUGUAAUAAGUUUCUAAGCAUUUGGCGUCUGUUAUAGACAAACUGUUGGAUUCUUUGCCACUUCAAACAGCAAAGCUAAUUAAAAGAUUGAUGGUAUUCUUGUCUAGAUUUGUGGUAUGGAGAUUCACUUGGAAAUAAACCUAAGCAGAUAU